rnacentral:rRNA from 1 species
CCUACGGGUGGCAGCAGUGGGGAAUAUUGGGCAAUGGGCGCAAGCCUGACCCAGCAACGCCGCGUGAAGGAAGAAGGCUUUCGGGUUGUAAACUUCUUUUCUCAGGGACGAUGAAAGUGACGGUACCUGAGGAAUAAGCCACUGCUAACUACGUGCCAGCCGCGGCGGUAAUACGUAGGUGGCAAGUGUUAUACGGAUUUAUUGGGUGUAAAGGGCGUGUAGGCGGGAGCGCAAGUCAGAUGUGAAAACUCAGGGCGCAACCAUGAUCCUGUAUUUGAAACUGUGUUUCUUGAGUGCUGGAGAGGCAAUCGGAAUGCCGGGUGUAGGGGUGAAAUGCGUAGAUAUAAGGAGGAACACUAGUGGCGAAGGCGAAUUGCUGGAACGUAACUGACGCUGAGGCGCGAAAGCGUGGGGAGCAAACAGGAUUAGAUACCCCUGUAGUC